rnacentral:lncRNA from 1 species
CUUUCCUCCAACCUGAGAUUGGAAAUGAGUAGAUUUUGUUACCAUUUUAAUUCCCAUCUAUGGACAAUGAUUCAGAAGCCUAAGCAGGUGAAGUGCUUUGCUCAGUGUCACUCGGCGGGUAAGAGGUAAAACCAGCCUUCAAACCC